rnacentral:rRNA from 1 species
UACGGAGGGUGCGAGCGUUGUCCGGAAUCAUUGGGCGUAAAGGGUGCGCAGGCGGCCAAGUGUGUUAGGCGUGAAAGCCCGGGGCUUAACCCCGGAAUUGCACCUAAAACUACAUGGCUAGAGCAUUGGAGAGGGUAGCGGAAUUCACAGUGUAGCAGUGAAAUGCGUAGAUAUCGUGAGGAACACCAGAGGCGAAGGCGGCUACCUGGACAAUUGCUGACGCUCAGGCACGAAAGCGUGGGGAGCAAAAGGG